GCCCUGGUGGUGUAGUGGUUUAGCAUAUGGGACUGUCACUCCCAUGACCCGAGUUCAAAUCUCGGCCAGGGCG
rnacentral:tRNA from 1 species